CUACCACCUGAACCACAGCCACCCAUUAUUUAAUGUUAUGUUAGGUUAUGUGAAUGAAAGUGCAACGUUUUACUCUCAGGUCAAGAAUGAAUUGAAUUUCAUUCUUACUGUUAGAAGGCCCCUCCUCCCAAUUUUCCCGAAUGAGGUCUAGGACGCUUCUUCUGCCCGUACAAUAAUUCCAAUGAAGAAAACCCCCAUGGAGGCUUGCAAGACUUCUCACACUGCAAAUAACAGUCACUCUAGCCACUGUCAAACAGGCCUCUGUUUUCAAAUAGUUUGUGGGGAGUUUCUUGCCUGUGUCAGUCUAAACUAUACUGUUUCUUUCUCUUUUUUUCGUCAAUAAUUAUGAUAAGAAUCAUUUUCAUUUGUUGUAGUUUCACUUUCUCUUCUACCAUAUUUUGUUUUUUUUUUUGUCUAUAGACAGCAAGCAGAGACCACCCACAUCAAAUCCAUCUAAAUAAUAUAAUAUAAUAAAUAAUAAUAUCAACUAAUCUUCAACUAAGAUUCAUUAAACACUCAACAUGGCAAACAUUCAGCUUGUUCUGUGUGCCGAGUACAGGAUGUUUACUCAUUCUUCCUCCGGCGUUAUUAAUAGCUUUAUUUAUGUGUGGCAGUGAUUUACGUAACUAUGCUAUUGGCACUGUCCGGGGUGUGGCUUCGGCAGACCAAUGAGGUGGGAACCACACUGUUAUUUAAGGACCCUUAUUUUGAGAGGCGCGUAUGUGUCUUGGUGAUUCAGGGUUCCUCGCUCCCUGGUGCUUCAGUUUCAGUGUCCGUUGAGGUAUGUUGAGGCUUUGCUCAUGGUGUAAUGAGGUGAACAUCUCAAUGAUAAUAUGUUUAUUUAUAGUUUUAGAGCAGAGCUACUGGCGUUAUCCAGUGUCUGAAUGAUGGCUGGUAUACUGAGCCGGUGAGUAAUCAUACAACUUCACAUCUGGUGUUUGUUCAACCCUGUGGAGCCAUUGAGUCUUGGUGUGGGACAGGGGAGGCUAGCUGCCUUCAUUCAGUGGUGUGCUCAGUGCACCAACACAACAAAUUCCUUAUGGUGUAGGUAGUGUUUGAUAAUUUGAUGUGAAUUAAGGUGGGUGUGGAUGACCGCCCAAGCUGCAGUAGGCCUGCCUUGUUCCUGUCAAGCCUGGGCCUGGAGAAGUGCUAGUUUUAAAAUUCUUAUUGUGCUUCAUGGGAGGGAGAACUUAUCGUAUAUAUAUAUAAGUUUUAAUGAUGCUGACGUUAUAAUAAAAAGUAACUUUUUAUAUUGAUA